GGUGACAGUAGCUGGUUACAUGUACACCGUCCGAUUCGGCGGGCUCAUCCGAUCAGAGACGUUCGUGCCCCCAUCCUCCCCCAGUAGCCAGAAGCUACUCUCGAACCCUAAUCCCUCUCCUCUUCCCACGAGGAGCCGCCGCCGCCGCCACGGCCACCGUCUUCCCCUCGAGCUCGUGAAGCCGGAGCCGCCGCCUUCUUCUCAAGCUCGCGGAGCCAGCCGUCGCCGCCGCCGUGCGGAGCCAGUGGUUACCGUCGCUGUCUUCCCAUCGACUUCUUGCGAGUCAUUUCCGUCUCCUUCCCCAUCCCACGCAGACUUUGGUUCUUGCAAGAUCUGUGCCCGCAUCGAGCCCCCACAAGCACGCGGUAAUCAGAAGUCCUCUGUCUCACUGCUCUCUUUCAUAUCAAACCCGGCAGCCUCUGCUUGAUUUUUCUGUAUGUAGUGCAUGGUCAUUCAGGUCUGAACAUAUGAGGCCUGCAGAUAUUUUUGGAAGCACAAACGAAAGGAUCACGUAUGUAUGUCAUGUUUGCUGAUUACUACCUUUCCCUGCAAAUACACAUACACCACUUGGAUGUAGAUACACAUUCUGUCUUGCUUAACAUGUUAAUUAACUUGAUUGAGUAAAUGAUUUUUGCAGUGAUUGGCCGAUAUCCCAAAGUAAAAUCAAUAAGUGACUGAAGGUAAUUCAUUAGUGUUUUAUGUCUAUAUAUGAUCAUAAAAGUGUCUGCAGGGUGCAUCAGACAAGCAAAAAGUAUAUGGGCAGUGAUGGCACAUUUCUUAGGGAAGGGAUUUAUGAGUUCAACGGCAAAAUCCUCUCUAUCAGUCCAUAUAGUAGCAGUUGCCUAGCAUUUUUAACUUACCUACAUUGCUCCCCUAUUUUUAGCUACAUAAGAACUAUAUGUAUGUCACCCCAUCAGAGUUGUUGUAUUUAAAUCACAUAUUCUUGUAUUCUAAGUCCAUAUGUUGUUGAGAAGUGUUCUCCAAUUCAUCUCUAUGCAGAGCAUCCUAUCAUAACAUUAACAAUGUUAGACCGUAUUUUUGGUGAGUGCUGCAUGCAGUUAUUAUUAUCAAAGCCAUCAAAGGUAUUGUACAUCGUUACAUCUCCUUCACCCUUUACAGGUUUCUACAUUACAGAUGCUCAUGUUAUUGUUUUAAAUCUUUUUCAACCAGUACAACCUGAUUAGCUAUUCUUACUAAUUCUUUUUAUACAAAAAAAUAUUUAGGCAUGUAUGUUUACACCAUCAAGUUUAAAAUGCUACUUACACUGCUUGCAUAUGUAAGAAAAAAUAACUGCCAGCUCCGUUCAAGUUCCCUAGAGCCAUAUAGUCUAUUGAUAUUCUGCUUGAUUUUUAAUCUUAUGACAAUGAUUCUAUGAUUAAGUUUAAUUAUGUAUAUCGUCGUCAUGCAUCUUGCAUUUCAUUUGCUGAAUAAUACACAAAUUGAUGUAUAACAACAUAACUGCAUAAUUGAGCUUAAUUUUUGCAAAGACCAUCCAGUACAGCUUCUGAGUUACAUUGGUAAUGGAACAACCGGCGUUAUUAUACUACUAUCAUAUGCUAUCAGGUAAUCUCUUCCUUAAAUUGUAGUUUGAUAGUCUUCGGGUCUCUACUAUUUGUGCUUACCAAUCCGUUUUUAAAGCUUGCUCCUGCUUGCAUGAAGAGAUUAUUUCUGUUUGGUGCUGCCGAGCACGAAGAAUUUGUUCAUCCAUGUGUUGCCAAUGCCUCUUGCAGUGUGAUAUGAUGUGAAUUGAGUAUUCAUGCUCUGUUAGCCUCUUUCAAGUAGCUAAUGGAGGAAAUGAUUCCCACCAUUUCAGUAGCUGUAUUAUGUCAGUUAUGCCCAUUUCAAAUAUGUAAUUUCUACUUUAUUUACCUCAUUGAGGUAUAUUGUUUCACAUUUUUCCCUGAGAUACAUUUCAGAUGGCAUUUUAAACUAGCGUGUUCUGUUUGUAUUAAACAAUUAAGUCAGGUAUAUAUGAAUGUGUGCCACAAUUUUUACAUUUUUUCA